AUUGAACGCUGGCGGCAUGCCUUACACAUGCAAGUCGAACGGCAGCACGGGUGCUUGCCCCUGGUGGCGAGUGGCGAACGGGUGAGUAAUACAUCGGAACAUGUCCUGUAGUGGGGGAUAGCCCGGCGAAAGCCGGAUUAAUACCGCAUACGAUCUACGGAUGAAAGCGGGGGACCUUCGGGCCUCGCGCUAUAGGGUUGGCCGAUGGCUGAUUAGCUAGUUGGUGGGGUAAAGGCCUACCAAGGCGACGAUCAGUAGCUGGUCUGAGAGGACGACCAGCCACACUGGAACUGAGACACGGCCCAGACUCCUACGGGAGGCAGCAGUAGGGAAUUUUGGACAAUGGGCGAAAGCCUGAUCCAGCAAUGCCGCGUGUGUGAAGAAGGCCUUCGGGUUGUAAAGCACUUUUGUCCGGAAAGAAAUCCUUGGCCCUAAUACGGUCGGGGGAUGACGGUACCGGAAGAAUAAGCACCGGCUAACUACGUG
rnacentral:rRNA from 1 species